CUACGGGGGGCACCAGUGGGGAAUAUUGCACAAUGGGCGAAAGCCUGAUGCAGCAACGCCGCGUGAGUGAAGAAGGUCUUCGGAUCGUAAAACUCUGUCCUCAAGGAAGAAUAAUGACGGUACUUGAGGAGGAAGCCCCGGCUAACUACGUGCGCAGCAGCCGCGGUAAUACGUAGGGGGCAAGCGUUAUCCGGAAUCACUGGGCGUAAAGGGUGCGUAGGCGGUUACGCAAGUCAGGAGUGAAAGGCUAUGGCUCAACCAUAGUGAGCUCUUGAAACUGUGUAACUUGAGUACAGGAGAGGAAAGUGGAAUUCCUAGUGUAGUGGUGAAAUGCGUAGAUAUUAGGAGGAACACCAGUGGCGAAGGCGACUUUCUGGACUGUAACUGACGCUGAGGCACGAAAGCGUGGGGAGCGAACAGGAUUAGAUACCCUCGUAGUC
rnacentral:rRNA from 1 species